GUCUUGUUAGCUCAGUUGGUUAGAGCGCCGUGACAAUGACGCGGAUGUCGAGGGUUCGAUCCCCUUACCGGACA